GCCAGCAUGGUUUAGUGGUUUGAGCAUUGGAUUACGAUUCUGGGGAUCAGGGUUUGAUUCCCUGCUCAGUCA